rnacentral:rRNA from 1 species
UACAGAGGUCUCAAGCGUUUGUUCGGAUUCAUUGGGCGUAAAGGGUGCGUAGGCGGCGCGGUAAGUCGGGUGUGAAAUCUUGGAGCUUAACUCCGAAACUGCAUUCGAUACUGCCGUGCUUGAGGACUGGAGAGGAGACUGGAAUUUACGGUGUAGCGGUGAAAUGCGUAGAUAUCGGAAGGAACGCCGGUGGCGAAAGCGGGUAGCUGGGGCCGACACUGACGCUGAAGCGCGAAAGCCAGGGGAGCGAACGGGG